rnacentral:rRNA from 1 species
GCGGCGUGCUUAACACAUGCAAGUCGAACGAUGAAGCGCCAGCUUGCUGGUGUGGAUUAGUGGCGAACGGGUGAGUAACACGUGAGUAACCUGCCCCCUACUCUGGGAUAAGCCUGGGAAACUGGGUCUAAUACUGGAUAUGACCAAUCACUGCAUGGUGUGUUGGUGGAAAGAUUUUUUGGUGGGGGAUGGACUCGCGGCCUAUCAGCUUGUUGGUGGGGUAAUGGCCUACCAAGGCGACGACGGGUAGCCGGCCUGAGAGGGCGACCGGCCACACUGGGACUGAGACACGGCCCAGACUCCUACGGGAGGCAGCAGUGGGGAAUAUUGCACAAUGGGCGAAAGCCUGAUGCAGCGACGCCGCGUGAGGGAUGACGGCCUUCGGGUUGUAAACCUCUUUCACCAGGGACGAAGCUAACGUGACGGUACCUGGAGAAGAAGCACCGGCUAACUACGUGCCAGCAGCCGCGGUAAUACGUAGGGUGCGAGCGUUGUCCGGAAUUAUUGGGCGUAAAGAGCUUGUAGGCGGUUUGUCGCGUCUGCUGUGAAAGACCGGGGCUUAACUCCGGUUCUGCAGUGGGUACGGGCAGACUAGAGUAUGGUAGGGGAGACUGGAAUUCCUGGUGUAGCGGUGAAAUGCGCAGAUAUCAGGAGGAACACCGAUGGCGAAGGCAGGUCUCUGGGCCAUUACUGACGCUGAGAAGCGAAAGCAUGGGGAGCGAACAGGAUUAGAUACCCUGGUAGUCCAUGCCGUAAACGUUGGGCGCUAGGUGUGGGGCUCAUUCCACGAGUUCCGUGCCGCAGCUAACGCAUUAAGCGCCCCGC